rnacentral:rRNA from 1 species
UACGUAGGGGUGCAAGCGUUAAUCGGAAUACUGGGCGUAAAGCGUGCGCAGGCGGCUUUGCAAGACAGAUGUGAAAUCCCCGGGCUUAACCUGGGAACUGCAUUUGUGACUGCAUGGCUGGAGUGCGGCAGAGGGGGAUGGAAUUCCGCGUGUAGCAGUGAAAUGCGUAGAUAUGCGGAGGAACACCGGUGCGGAGCGGAG